CCCUAGCCCAGAUGGAAACGGCAUCCUUUUUCUUUUUUUCUUUAAAAAAGGAAAAGAUACAGUGAACAGCUGGAAAUAGC
rnacentral:sRNA from 1 species